UACGGAGGGGGCAAGCGUUGUUCGGAAUUACUGGGCGUAAAGGGCGCGCAGGCGGCUGCUCAAGUCAGGCGUGAAAGGCCUGGGCUCAACCCGGGAACUGCGUCCGAUACUGGAAGGCUUGAAUCCGGGAGAGGGAUGCGGAAUUCCAGGUGUAGCGGUGAAAUGCGUAGAUAUCUGGAGGAACACCGGUGGCGAAGGCGGCAUCCUGGACCGGCAUUGACGCUGAGGCGCGAAAGCCAGGGGAGCAAACGGG
rnacentral:rRNA from 1 species